CUUAUCCUAUGUUCACAUACCAACUGCUCUGGUGGACUAUCUGAAUGUUUUUAUAUUUGUUUUAAAAUGGAUUGAUGAGACAAAGUUUUAUUGUGCCCAUGUAUCCCUUUUGCAGUGGAAAAAUGGUCAUGAGCAAUAUUCAGCAAGAACUCCAAGAGAAUCCAUAGACCAGAGACUUCCAACACUCUCAAGCUACACAGCUGAUCAUAUGAACACAUGAAACUACCUUAUACUGAAUCAGACCAUUGGUCUUUCUAGCUCACUAUUGGCAGUGAGUCUCAUACAAGUCUUUUCCCAUUACCUGCUACCUGAUCUUUUUAACUGGUGAUGCUGGGCAUUGAAGCUGGGACUCUCUACAUGUAAAAAAUGUGUUCCUCCAAUGCACUUUGGCACACUCAUUGAUACUGAGGGUUCUAAUAAGAUUAGGAUGUUUCCAUGAAACAUUACGAAGACAGAGUAAAUUGGAAUUGGAUAUUUGGAAAAUGACGGUAUGAGUGUGAACCAAGGCUACAAUAUCAAACUGCAGCAUACACAGAGGUAGUCCACACUUCAUCCCAGUAGUGUCCCAAAUUAAAUUUUCACUGGAUUUUUUUCCUUCAAGAAUGCUGCAUCAAGGAAAUGCAAAUUCUGUACCCAGUUAAGCAAAUUAAUCAUAUUUACAGAUCGUUAAAUAAUGUGAACUGGCAUGGCAACAGACAAAUUACAUCAAAAGCCAUAGAAAGAGGGUAGGCACUGGAGGUUGGGAAUAUAUUUUCAAUGAUGAGGUCAUAUGAAGGCUCCAGAGAAAAUUCCUCAUUGGAGAUGGAUAGAAAGCUGUACCAGAAAAAAAAUGCUUUGAUCAAAUCUGUUAAAAAUCGUGUCUUUGCUAAGCUUCCUAGGAUUUAAAAUUAGUAUAGCAUGAUGCAAACCACUGUGCACCCAGUACUGCUGACUAAGGCCAUUUCCUCACCUCAGUUCAACAAGGUUCUGGUAAGAAGUUAGCACAUCUUAAUGUUCAGCAGCUGUUCAGCACUACAACUUCACUCAGCAGUAAAUAAACCACUAAAUAUGAAGGGCGAAAAUGUGUAAAAAGUUGCCAUACUUCCUUUAUUUUGUUUCCUCUUUUAAUGUUUUAAAACUGUGGCAUUCCUGUUUUCACCACCACAGUUAGUCAUGCUAUGGCAUCUUAAUAACCAAAACAAACCAAUUCCUAUUCAAUUAUCCUCUUUUCUGAUGUUAUGAACAAAAAAAUAUGCUUCAAGGAGAUGGGACAAGAGAACUUCCUCUAGCUUGGCAGAUGACAUCCCUCUAGGAAGUCUAAUGUGAAUAGGCUAUUAAUAAGAAUAGGAAAACUGGUAUAGAUUCUUGGAAUUUGGUACAGUGCAGAGACAACUCAUAGGGUUCAUAGAAUCAUAAAAUUGUAAAGUUGGAAGGGGCCUAUAAAGUUGAGUCCAACCCUCUGUUCAAUGCAAGAAUCCAGACAAAGCAUACCCAACAGAUAGCUGUCCUGCUGCCUCUUGAAUGCCUCCAAGUGCUGGGAAAACCCACUACCUCUCUAGGUAAUUGGUUCCAUUGUCAUACCGCUCUAACAGUUAGGAAGUUUUUCCUGAUGUUCAGUUGAAAUCUGGCUUCCUGUAACUUGAGCCUACAUUCAGUGUCCUGCAAUCUCGGACAAUCAAGAAGAGAUCCUGGCCCUCCUCUGUGUGGCAGCCUUUCAAGUACUUGAACAGUGUUAUCAUAUCUCCCCUCAAGUCUUCUCUUCUCAUGGCUAAAUAUGCCCAGUUCUUUCAGUCUCUCCUCAUAGGGCUUUGUGUCUAGUCCCCUGAUCACCCUUAUUGCCCUCCUCUGAAUCUGUUCUAGUUUGUCUGCAUCCUUCUUAAAGUGUGUCCAGAACUGGACGCAGUACUCAAGAUGAGGCCUCAAGAGGGGAACAAAUACUUCAUGCAAUUUGGAAACUAUAGUUCUGUUAAUGCAGCCUAAAAUAGCAUUUGCCUUUUUUGGAGCCAUAUCACACUGUUGGCUCAUAGUCAGCUUGUGAUCAAUAUCAAUUCCAAGAUCCUUCUUGCAUGUAGUAUUGCUGAGCCAAGUAUCCCCCAUCUUAUAAAUGUGCAUUUGAUUUCUUUUUCCUAGAUGUAGAACUUUGCACUUACCCCUGUUAAAUUUCAUUCUGUUGUUUUCAGCCCAAUGCUCCUGCCUAUCAAGAUUCCUUUGAAUUUUGUUUCUGUCUUCCAAGGUGUUAGCUAUCCCUCUCAAUUUUGUAUGAUCUUCAAAUUUCUUUCUUUCCCAUUGGUCAGUGAUUUUUCUUUAGUUGUGUCUGGGCUAGGUUCUUUCCAUGUGUCAGUAGGAACCUUUGGCAAAUUGUAAGAAUUGAUGUCCUUAGGUAUCGUGUCCAAGGUCUUUUGUUCGACUAAACUGUUGGUUUCAUCCGCUAUAUUGUUGUUCCGAUAAGGACUCAGAGUAGGUUCAUCAUCAUAAGAAUGGUAUUGUGAACAGAUUGUCCCGCUUUCGCAAUUUCCUCUGCCAGACUAGGAGCAUUUUCGGCUAUGUAUUUAAAAUCUUCAGUGGGUAUAUAGGUAGUUGACCAGUCAUUGUUUAUAUCAGUCGUAUUAAUGACGAAGGGUUUCGGCAGAGGCUCAUUCUUAUUAGGAUCGUAGAACUGGGUGAUCCGAGGCUGGCCCUUUAAAUCUGGAGAGGAAGCAGAAGUUUGUUGUGGAGCUGGGGGCUCACAGCCAUGAGUCAAGGUUUUGUUCUUUACCUUUUUUAUUUUCUUUUCCAUUUUCUUCUGUUUACAAUUUGUCUUUUGAAGGGCUUUCCCCGCAUUUCUCGUUUGGACCAUAGUGUCUUACUCACUAAUUGGGAGAGCCCACAGCUAUACAGCUUCGUUAGCUAUGAAUAACAUGCACUCCAAAGGGAUAGAUAAAGAGGUCAGAUAUAACAGUUAUAUCCUUCAGUUGCUGUAUUCCAGUCAUGGAAGUCAUCCCACCAACUUUCAGCAGGAGCCCAGAAAUAAUAGAUUUCAGAGAACAUCAACACCUGGACCACAUUAUUACUAGUCAGAACUGGAACACAACAUGGAUUUCAUGGUAUCAAAGAUGUGCAAAUAUACUGUAAGAGGGGCAUUUGUUUACAUCACUAACUUCUAUGCCUCCCAUCAAAACAUCCAGUGGAAAUCAGCAUGGAGAAAAAAUAAUGAAUCCCAGAACAGUUGCACUAAGCCAAGGACAUAGAUGACUGGUGGACUGCAUAUCCUGCAUGUCUGAUUCGGGGGUGAGGGGGACACUUGUUGGAUAGAGCAGCCACCCAGCUUGUGUUUCAAUACAAGAGAAGAAAUACAAGAGAAAUGAGAGAGAAAGAGAUUAAGACUUUGAGGAGGAGCCUGAAACCAAAUGAAAACAAAUUCUAAUAUGGAACAGAGCAGUUGUCCCAUGUCAAGCUGAGAGGAAUUAUUGGUCACCAAGGAGGUCAACAGCCAAGGAUUUCCCCAGCACAACUUGCUGAAACCAACCCUCCAAGACGGACAAAAACCACUUUAAAAUUAUGCUUCCAAGUUCAAUCACAGUCAAGCGGUCCAAGAGGAUACCACAGUCUAUGGUAUGAAAAACUGCAGAGAGGUCCAGCAGGAUCAACAGAGGUGUGUUUCUCAUCUCCAGUUCACAGUGUAGAUUGUUCAUCAAAGCAACCAAAGCUGAUUCCAUCCUAUAACCAGGCCUGAAGCCAGACUGAAAUGGAUCUAGAUCUUUUCAGUUACAAACAUUUGAUGCUGAAAUGCUACUACACAUGAAAUGCCCAAGAAUCAAAUAUUAUAGUAUUAGACACUGGCCAGAAAUUAUCUAAUAUGGUGGGGUUCAGUGAAGGUUUGGUUUUUUAAAAAAAACAGAUCUCACCACUACUUCCUUUAGACAUGGCAGAACCACAUCUUUUAGAAAAAUGUUAAAACAAUUCAAUUAUCCACUGAACCAGCUCAGCAGUAUGUUAUAAGCCCAGGAAGGACAAGGGUCAAAAAUACAUGUGGUUGGUCUCACCUCUCAAAUGACAGAUUUCUUCCAAUGUGUGAGGAAGAUGCAUCCCUUGAAUACUGGGUGCCUGAGAAUGGUUCCCAGGUAAAUCAGAUGCUGGGAGGAAGUCAGAGAACUCUUCAGGACAUCAAUAAGAAAGCUAGUCCUCAAUGCAGUGAUUUGCAUACCCUGCCUCCACUUCCCUGCCCCAUAUUUCUUGAUGAGAUGGCCACUCUGCUAUUCUUAAUUAACCCUGAACACAAAGAGCUGAGUUUUACAAGUAGAAUCAAUUUACUAGAUUUGGGACAUUGCUCCCCUCCCAUUUUUCUAACAUGGUGGGGAAAACUACAAUGAACCAGAGCAUCCAAACCUGGACAGAUAGGGUUUGCAGUAUUACUUCUUUUCUUUCUGUGCUUUCUAAAAUUUCUCCACUAUAUCUGUGAUUACCACAUCUAAUCCACCUGAAAAACUGAAGCUGAAGCGAUACUCUCCCCACAAGAAUGGAAGGGCCUGGGAAUUGAUGGUCUGCUACGGCUGCUUACUCUCUUCAGUUGACCUUUUUUCAAGGGCUGGGGAUGACUCUGAUAUCUGGCUGCCUACUUUUGAUUUUAGUGAGAGAAAGUUCCCAUGAAGAGCUGAGCAGGGAAGAAUUGUUUUGGGACACUGUGCCCGCUUGCCUCCUGUGACCAAUAAUCUAGGAUAGAACUGGCUGCUGCUGCCCUGCAGGGGAAGACCACAUGUUAAGGAUUCUGAAAAUUGUUUCUAUUACCCUCAAACUUUAUGUCUUGGAGUAAAGCUAUCUGAUUCCGUGGGUUGUGCCUCUAUUUCCCAGUCUGGACUCUCAUGCAAUCUAGGAGUGAAUAGGGUUAAAAAUAAAGAGAUCUCCUAAGUGAAGCAGCUUCAGACUCAGAACUGCUUCCUCUUGAUAGUGGGGAGAGGCACUGAUUAGGUCUUGUCCUUACAGAAAGAAUAAAAGGUUUUGCAUAGCUCUCUGCCUCUGAGAGUAGAUGAACUAGCUCAUUAAAAGGAAG